ACGCCCCUCGGGUGCUCGGGUCCGCCGCAUCUCCUGGGAAACCGAAGGGCUCGGCCGGUCGGCCGCGGAUUUCUGGCCUCCUCAGAGCCGCGCCGGCCGGCCACCUU
rnacentral:sRNA from 1 species